rnacentral:rRNA from 1 species
GGGCCCGCACAAGCGGUGGAGCAUGUGGUUUAAUUCGAUACUACGCGCAAAACCUUACUCGUUCUUGACUUGGGAGGGGGAGGACCCCGAGAGGGUGUCUUCCAUUGCCUCCCACAGGUGUUGCAUGGCUGUCGUCAGCUCGUGUCGUAAGAUGUUUGGUUCAGUCCUUUAACGAGCGCAACCCCUGUCCUUGGUUGGCAGGUCCCCCCGAGGGGCCCCACUCCAAGGAGACUGCCAGUGAGAAGCUGGAGGAAGGUAGGGAUGACGUCAAGUCCUCAUGGCCCUUAUGAACGAGGCUACACACGUGCUACAAUGGCAGGGACAAAGGGAAGCCAAAGGGUGACCUGGAGCAAAACCUCAACCCCUGUCUCAGUUCGGAUUGGAGGCUGGAACUCGCCUCCAUGAAGUUGGAAUCGCUAGUAA